CCUACGGGGGGCAGCAGUGGGGAAUAUUGCACAAUGGGGGAAACCCUGAUGCAGCGACGCCGCGUGAAGGAAGAAGUAUUUCGGUAUGUAAACUUCUAUCAGCAGGGAAGAAAAUGACGGUACCUGACUAAGAAGCCCCGGCUAACUACGUACCAGCAGCCGCGGUAAUACGUAGGGGGCAAGCGUUAUCCGGAUUUACUGGGUGUAAAGGGAGCGUAGGCGGUUUAGCAAGUCAGAAGUGAAAGCCCGGGGCUCAACUCCGGGACUGCUUUUGAAACUGUUGAACUAGAGUGCAGGAGAGGUAAGUGGAAUUCCUAGUGUAGCGGUGAAAUGCGUAGAUAUUAGGAGGAACACCAGUGGCGAAGGCGGCUUACUGGACUGUAAAUGACGCUGAGGCUCGAAAGCGUGGGGAGCAAACAGGAUUAGAUACCCCUGUAGUC
rnacentral:rRNA from 1 species